rnacentral:rRNA from 1 species
UACGGAGGGUGCGAGCGUUGUCCGGAAUCACUGGGCGUAAAGGGCGCGUAGGUGGCCCGUUAAGUGGCUGGUGAAAUCCCGCGGCUCAACUGCGGGGCUGCCGGUCAUACUGGCGAGCUAGAGCACGGUAGGGGCAGAUGGAAUUCCCGGCGUAGCGGUGGAAUGCGUAGAGAUCGGGAAGAAUACCAGUGGCGAAGGCGUGCUGCUGGGCCGUUGCUGACACUGAGGCGCGACAGCGUGGGGAGCAAACAGG